rnacentral:rRNA from 1 species
UACGUAGGGUGCGAGCGUUAAUCGGAAUUACUGGGCGUAAAGCGUGCGCAGGCGGCUAUUUAAGCUUGCUGUGAAAGCCCCGGGCUUAACCUGGGAACUGCAGUGAGGACUGGAUGGCUGGAGUGUGGCAGAGGGGGGUGGAAUUCCAGCGUGGUAGCAGUGAAAUGCGUAGAGAUGUGGAGGAACACCGAUGGCGAAGGCAGCCCCCUGGGCUAACACUGACGCCUCGAGGCACGAAAGCGUGGGGAGCAAACAGGA